GAUGAAGAACGUAGCGAAAUGCGAUAAGUAAUGCGAAUUGCAGAAUUCCAGUGAGUCAUCGAAUCUUUGAACGCACAUUGCGCCCCUUGGUAUCCCGAGGGGCAUGCCUGUUCGAGCGUCAUUUCACCACUCAAGCCUGGCUUGGUGUUGGGCGACGUCCUCUUUGGGGACGCGCCUCGAAACGCUCGGCGGCGUGGCACCGGCUUUAAGCGUAGCAGAAUCUUUCGCUUUGGAAGUCGGGGCCCCGUCUGCCGGAAGACCUGCUCGCAAGGUUGACCUCGGAUCAGGCAGGGAUACCCGCUGAACUUAAGCAUAUCAAUAAGCGGAGGA
rnacentral:misc_RNA from 1 species